rnacentral:rRNA from 1 species
CUACGUGCCAGCAGCCGCGGUAAUACGGAAGGUCCAGGCGUUAUCCGGAUUUAUUGGGUUUAAAGGGAGCGUAGGCUGGAGAUUAAGUGUGUUGUGAAAUGUAGACGCUCAACGUCUGAAUUGCAGCGCAUACUGGUUUCCUCGAGUACGCACAACGUUGGCGGAAUUCGUCGUGUAGCGGUGAAAUGCUUAGAUAUGACGAAGAACUCCGAUUGCGAAGGCAGCUGACGGGAGCGCAACUGACGCUUAAGCUCGAAGGUGCGGGUAUCAAACAGGAUUAGAUACCCUGGUAGUCCGCACAGUAAACGAUGGAUGCCCGCUGUUGGUACCUGGUAUCAGCGGCUAAGCGAAAGCAUUAAGCAUCCCACCUGGGGAGUACGCCGGCAACGGUGAAACUCAAAGGAAUUGACGGGGGCCCGCACAAGCGGAGGAACAUGUGGUUUAAUUCGAUGAUACGCGAGGAACCUUACCCGGGCU